rnacentral:rRNA from 1 species
GUAGGGAAUAUUGGGCAAUGGUCGGAAGACUGACCCAGCCAUGCCGCGUGCAGGAAGACGGCCCUCUGGGUUGUAAACUGCUUUUAUCUGGGAAGAAAAAGGCCAUGCGUGGCAAAUUGCCGGUACCAGAUGAAUAAGCACCGGCUAACUCCGUGCCAGCAGCCGCGGUAAUACGGAGGGUGCGAGCGUUGUCCGGAUUUAUUGGGUUUAAAGGGUGCGUAGGCGGCUGAUUAAGUCAGCGGUGAAAGACUUCGGCUUAACCGGAGCAGUGCCGUUGAUACUGGUUGGCUUGAGUGUCGGAGGGGUACAUGGAAUGGAUGGUGUAGCGGUGAAAUGCAUAGAUACCAUCAGGAACACCGAUAGCGAAGGCAUUGUACUGGCCGACAACUGACGCUGAUGCACGAAAGUGUGGGGAUCGAACAGGAUUAGAUACCCGAGUAGUCC